GACGAACGCUGGCGGCGUGCCUAACACAUGCAAGUCGAGCGAGAGACUUCGGUCUCUAGCGGCGGACGGGUGAGUAACACGUGGGUAACCUGCCUCAUAGAGGGGGAUAGCCUUCCGAAAGGAAGAUUAAUACCGCAUAACGUAUCGCGACCGCAUGGUCGCGCUAUCAAAGGAGCAAUCCGCUAUGAGAUGGACCCGCGGCGCAUUAGCUAGUUGGUGAGGUAACGGCUCACCAAGGCCACGAUGCGUAGCCGACCUGAGAGGGUGAUCGGCCACAUUGGAACUGAGAUACGGUCCAGACUCCUACGGGAGGCAGCAGUGGGGAAUAUUGCACAAUGGGCGAAAGCCUGAUGCAGCAACGCCGCGUGAGUGAUGAAGGCCUUCGGGUUGUAAAGCUCUGUCUUUGGGGACGAUAAUGACGGUACCCAAGGAGGAAGCCACGGCUAACUACGUGACAGCCGCCGCCGUAA
rnacentral:rRNA from 1 species